AGUGAACGCUGGCGGCAGGCCUAACACAUGCAAGUCGAGCGGCAGCGCGUCCGACCACCCUCGGGUGGUCGGAUGGCGGCGAGCGGCGGACGGGUGAGGAAUGCAUCGGAAUCUGCCUCGUUGUGGGGGAUAACGUAGGGAAACUUAUGCUAAUACCGCAUACGACCUACGGGUGAAAGUGGGGGACCUUCGGGCCUCACGCGAUGAGAUGAGCCGAUGCCGGAUUAGCUAGUUGGCGGGGUAAAGGCCCACCAAGGCGACGAUCCGUAGCUGGUCUGAGAGGAUGAUCAGCCACACUGGAACUGAGACACGGUCCAGACUCCUACGGGAGGCAGCAGUGGGGAAUAUUGGACAAUGGGGGCAACCCUGAUCCAGCCAUGCCACGUGUGUGAAGAAGGCCUCGGUUGUAAG
rnacentral:rRNA from 1 species